AUUGAACGCUGGCGGCAUGCUUUACACAUGCAAGUCGAACGGCAGCGCGGGCUUCGCCCUGGCGGCGAGUGGCGAACGGGUGAGUAAUGCAUCGGAACGUGCCCAGUAGUGGGGGCUAGCCCGGCGAAAGACGGAUUAAUACCGCAUACGACCUGAGGGUGAAAGCGGGGGACCGAACGGCCUCGCGCUAUUGGAGCGGCGGAUGUCGGAUUAGCUAGUUGGUGGGGUAAAGGCUUACCAAGGCGACGAUCCGUAGCUGGUCUGAGAGGACGACCAGCCACACUGGGACUGAGACACGGCCCAGACUCCUACGGGAGGCAGCAGUGGGGAAUUUUGGACAAUGGGGGCAACCCUGAUCCAGCCAUGCCGCGUGCGGGAAGAAGGCCUUCGGGUUGUAAACCGCUUUUGUUCGGGAAGAAAACCUCUGGGCUAAUACCCCGGGGGGAUGACGGUACCGGAAGAAUAAGCACCGGCUAACUACGUG
rnacentral:rRNA from 1 species